rnacentral:rRNA from 1 species
AGAGUAUGAUCCUGGCUCAGGACGAACGCUAGCGGCAGGCUUAACACAUGCAAGUCGAGGGGUAACAGGGUGCUUGCACCGCUGACGACCGGCGCACGGGUGCGUAACGCGUAUGCAAUCUACCUUUUACAGAGAGAUACCCCAGAGAAAUUUGGAAUAAUACCUCAUAAUAUUAUUGCUCGGCAUCGAGUGACAAUUAAAGUUUCGGCGGUAAAAGAUGAGUAUGCGUCCUAUUAGCUAGUUGGUAAGGUAACGGCUUACCAAGGCGACGAUAGGUAGGGGUCCUGAGAGGGAGAUCCCCCACACUGGUACUGAGACACGGACCAGACUCCUACGGGAGGCAGCAGUGAGGAAUAUUGGUCAAUGGGCGAAAGCCUGAACCAGCCAUGCCGCGUGCAGGAAGACUGCCCUAUGGGUUGUAAACUGCUUUUAUACAGGAAGAAACACUCCCUCGUGAGGGAGCUUGACGGUACUGUAUGAAUAAGCACCGGCUAACUCCGUGCCAGCAGCCGCGGUAA